GCUGAUGACCUCCCAUCUUUGGAAACGGAAGUAAAGCAAAUCAUCACAAAUGAUGAGUAAACCUUGAAAAAAGUCUCAUCUCCCCCACUUUAAAAAAAACAGUGGCUCAGAAACUUUCACCUCAGAUAUAAGAUCAUGGUCUGCAGGUCUAUGAGGGCCAAAUACCAGAUAUUGGAAGAGCACA